rnacentral:rRNA from 1 species
UAGGGAAUCUUCCACAAUGGACGAAAGUCUGAUGGAGCAACGCCGCGUGAGUGAUGAAGGGUUUCGGCUCGUAAAACUCUGUUGUUGGAGAAGAACGGGUGUCAGAGUAACUGUUGACAUCGUGACGGCAUCCAACCAGAAAGCCACGGCUAACUACGUGCCAGCAGCCGCGGUAAUACGUAGGUGGCAAGCGUUGUCCGGAUUUAUUGGGCGUAAAGCGAGCGCAGGCGGUUUUUUAGGUCUGAUGUGAAAGCCUUCGGCUUAACCGGAGAAGUGCAUCGGAAACCGGGAGACUUGAGUGCAGAAGAGGACAGUGGAACUCCAUGUGUAGCGGUGAAAUGCGUAGAUAUAUGGAAGAAUACCAGUGGCGAAGGCGGCUCUCUGGUCUGCAACUGACGCUGAGGCUCGAAAGCAUGGGUAGCGAACAGGAUUAGAUACCCUGGUAGUCCAUGCCGUAAACGAUGAGUGCUAAGUGUUGGGAGGCUUCCGCCUCUCAGUGCUGCAGCUAACGCAUUAAGCACUCCGCCUGGGGGAGUACGACCGCAAGGUUGAAAC